rnacentral:rRNA from 1 species
UACGUAGGGGGCAAGCGUUGUCCGGAAUCAUUGGGCGUAAAGCGCGUGUAGGCGGCCCGAUAAGUCCGCUGUGAAAGUCCAGGGCUCAACCCUGGGAUGCCGGUGGAAACUGUCAGGCUCGAGUCCGGAAGAGGCGAGUGGAAUUCCUGGUGUAGCGGUGAAAUGCGCAGAUAUCAGGAGGAACACCAAUGGCGAAGGCAGCUCGCUGGGACGGUACUGACGCUGAGACGCGAAAGCGUGGGGAGCAAACAGG